rnacentral:rRNA from 1 species
GACGAGGGAUCCUAGCGUUGUUCGGAAUCAUUGGGCGUAAAGCGGGUGUAGGUGGCUUUGUAAGUCGAGUGUGAAAGCCUGGGGCUCAACCCCAGAAGUGCAUUCGAUACUGCGAAGCUUGAGUGGUAGAGAGGUUAGUAGAAUUGUUGGUGUAGUGGUGAAAUACGUAGAUAUCGAGAGGAACACCAGUGGCGAAGGGGAGGCUCUGGAAAACACCUGACACUGAGGCCCGAAAGGUAGGGGAGCAAACAGG